UACGUAGGGGGCAAGCGUUAAUCGGAAUUACUGGGCGUAAAGCGUGCGUAGACGGUUGCGUAAGUCAGAUGUGAAAGCCCCGGGCUCAACCUGGGAAUUGCAUUUGAGACUGCGUAGCUAGGGUGCGGAAGAGGGAAGCGGAAUUUCCGGUGUAGCGGUGAAAUGCGUAGAUAUCGGAAGGAACACCAGUGGCGAAAGCGGCUUCCUGGUCCAGCACCGACGUUCAGGCACGAAAGCGUGGGGAGCAAACAGGG
rnacentral:rRNA from 1 species